rnacentral:lncRNA from 1 species
GGGCUUAAUUUGAAAACAUCUAAUUUCUUUCUAAAUGUAUUCUUGUCUUGAACUUAAUUGUAGAAUUGAAUCUUAACAAAUCCUUUAAAUCUUUCUUGGCAUUACACAUUUCUCGGCAAUUUUAGUCUUAUUAAUUAAAAAUUACAUGAAACGAUAUAGGUUCUCUUCUUUUCUAUUAUGCAUCUGUUGCAGCUUAUCACAUCAUUCGAACUACAGUUUCCAAAUUCUUACUUGAAAAAAAUAUAUGUUCUGUUCUUUCCUAUUUUGCAUCUAUUGCAUCUUAUCACGUCAUUGGAAUUUUAGUUUAGCAUUACGAUUUUGGGUCUGGCUUUUAGUUGGCCACCGAGAAGCUAAUUCAGCAAUUGGAAUGAUGAACCUUCAGUUUUUUAUUUAUUUUUUCAAGUACUUCAUCUAUGUGUAAUUUUCUUUAAUUGGAACUUGCGUUGCACCAGUUGAGAGACUAAUCUGUGAUGGAAAGAGGAGUAUAUUUGAGCUCAUCAAGAAAAUAAAAGUACCUCAAGGCCUGAAAGGUUUUUGGAAGGUAAACUUUGUUAACAUUCUACGCACAGCACCUUUUAAGGCAAUCAAUUUUUGCUCUUAUGAUACAUAUAGAAAGAAGCUUCUCAAAUUAUCUGGGAAUGAAGAAACCACGAAUUUUGAGAGGUUUAUUGCCGGUGCUGUGGUUGGCAUUACGCUACAGUACUCUGCUUACCACUGGACACAGUGAAAAUUCGUUCAUUUUUUCCGAUAUUUUUUAACGUCUUUUGGCCAUAUCUUUCAGCAAUUAAAAUUCUGUGGCUUUUCUCGUAUAUAAAAAAACUUUGAGCCUGUUUGGGAGUGAUUUUUUCCCUCAAAAAAUUGAUUUUUUGAUCAUUAUUUCACUAUUUCAGGCGUCAUAUUUGACUUCUUCUUUCACAGGUAGACCCCACUUUUCUCAUAACAGUCAAAAAAUAAAUUCUCAAAAUCACUCCCAAACAAGCUCUUUGUUCUCUAGCUUAAACUAUAAAUUGAACUGACAGUUCCAGGAUCAAAAUGAUGUUGAAAAUGAGCUCAACUUCUGUGCAUGUAAUGUCGUUAUUUUUUUCUAGUUUAAGUCAGAAUUAGAAACUUGAAAUUAUUUGUGGGAAUGGUUUUUUGCUGUUACAAAGUACAAGCAAGGAACUAAUUCAAGAAUUUCAGUUUCUAGCUUAAGUGAUUGGACCUGUGAUCAUUUGGCAUUUGAGGUUGUGAGGGAGCAGCUCCAACUGCAAGGCCAAGCUGUUAAAAUGAGUGCGUUGACAACAGCUUGCAAGAUCGUUGAACAAGGAGGUCUUCCUGCUCAUUAAACGGGUCCUUUUCCCAGCUUACUACAGUUAUAGUAUAUGUUAUGUCAUGUUUUAUAAGGAGGAGACAUGCACUAUAUGAAGUCUUCUUCUGGCUUCUGACUUUUAUUCUUUGAUAGAAUUUCUCAAUUUCAUGUUUAUAUUGAUUAAUAUGCAAUCAAUUCUUUAUGUUUUACAAUCAUCUUGGUCUCAAAUAUGACGGUUUCAUUACAAUUUUGUCUGUUCCAAUCAUCUUGUGUUUUUGCCAUUACGAUUUCCUUCAUCUUGUUCCUUGCUCAUUAUUCUUUAGGUGUUACCUUUGGCAUCAAUAAAUUACUUCAUUUAUGAGUUUAUGAAGAUUGUUCUUAAGGUGG